GCCUACGGGGGCAGCAGUCGAGAAUCAUUCACAAUGGGGGAAACCCUGAUGGUGCGACGCCGCGUGGGGGAAUGAAGGUCUUCGGAUUGUAAACCCCUGUCAUGUGGGAGCAAAUUAAAAAGAUAGUACCACAAGAGGAAGAGACGGCUAACUCUGUGCCGGCAGCCGCGGUAAUACAGAGGUCUCAAGCGUUGUUCGGAAUCACUGGGCGUAAAGCGUGCGUAGGCUGUUUCGUAAGUCGUGUGUGAAAGGCGCGGGCUCAACCCGCGGACGGCACAUGAUACCGCGAGACUAGAGUAAUGGAG
rnacentral:rRNA from 1 species